rnacentral:piRNA from 1 species
UCUGAUGGUUUUGUCUUAAUUUGCCCUUUG